rnacentral:sRNA from 1 species
GUUGUGGAAAAUGAAUAUGUAUGGGGUCAAAUACAGAAAUUGAUCACAUGACAUGGGGGUCAUUCUAUAAACUUAACCCAAAAUAUCUACUAAUUAAUAUAUAAACUUACCUUAUAAUAAUAAAAAUAUAAAGUUCAUGGGGGUCAAUUGACCCCCCUCCUUAUAUGCUACCUCCGCCACUGCUUGUAGUUUAGAUGAAGCUAAGAUUGUUGUUACUACUGAAGAUCUUGAAGAGAUGAAUGGAUCAAAUCCGUGAGAGUAUAAAAGAAAUAAUAUUACCAAUGAUUGAGGAAACGAGGAUCCAUUCCCUACCAAUGAAGGUAUGUAAUGGCCUUGUCUACCAUGUGAUUGAGAAGAUAAUUGGAACAAUUGGGGAAGAUGACAAGGGUUAAACAGGCUGUGGAGGGGUAAGAAGAUAAAGAGUCGUGGUAUCGCUUCUCCCUAGCAACUGGAGUGAAGUGCAAGUUGGUGGCUUUCUCCAUUGGUCAAAAUGAGCAGAGCCUCGUUAAGUAUUAUGACUUAAUCACGGAGGCAGCUGAAUUCAAAAAGAAGAAGAAUGAGGAUGAUAAAAAGAAGAAGACUGAUGAGGAUGAGAAAAAGAAGAAGACUCAGGUUGAAGAAGAAGGCAAUGAGAAGAAGGAGAACGCGGAGGAAAAAUGAGAAGAGCCUCAUCAAGUAUUAUGACUUGAUCACAGAGGCAGCAGAAUUAAAGAAGAAGACUGAGUAAGAUGAGAAAAAGAAGACUGAGGUUGAAGAAGUCAAUGUGAAUAAGAAGAACAACAAUAACAAGAAGAAGAAGAAGAUCGAGAAGAAUGAGAACGCCGGUGACAAGUGAUUUAAGUUUUAGAAUUUUAAUAAGUAGUGAUUAUGUUAGACCUAAGGAUUUUAUAGUCAAAAUUGAAAAUAUGCACUACGUUUUUUUUUUGUAAUGUAAUCAAUCAUAUAUA